AUUGAACGCUGGCGGAAUGCUUUACACAUGCAAGUCGAACGGCAGCACGGGGCAACCUGGUGGCGAGUGGCGAACGGGUGAGUAAUACAUCGGAACGUGCCCAAUCGUGGGGGAUAACGUAGCGAAAGUUACGCUAAUACCGCAUACGAUCUACGGAUGAAAGCGGGGGAUCGCAAGACCUCGCGCGGAUGGAGCGGCCGAUGUCAGAUUAGGUAGUUGGUGGGGUAAAGGCUCACCAAGCCAACGAUCUGUAGCUGGUCUGAGAGGACGACCAGCCACACUGGAACUGAGACACGGUCCAGACUCCUACGGGAGGCAGCAGUGGGGAAUUUUGGACAAUGGGCGCAAGCCUGAUCCAGCCAUUCCGCGUGCAGGAUG
rnacentral:rRNA from 1 species